GAGACCGAUCCGUGGACAAAUUAAAAGCACCGAUUAAAGGUUCAGUGUGAUAACGAGAGUUAGAAUUGUGUCUAUGCGUCAAUGACUACGAACAACAACAACGAACGUUUUGAGUUAAAUCAUUUGGACACUCUGAUUACCCGCAGUCACACUACUACUAUGAAUUGAAGCCCAUUAUUGAGUAAGAUAUAUUUUUGGAUUAUAUGCGAUAAGAUGUGGGACGCGACGCUUUUAUUUUGACAGUCCGAACAGGAAGUGCAGCUCACUCCGCGCCGCUCGACGCUCCGCACCUCGUCGGUGACGGCAGAGAAGUCGGGAUCGGAGGCUCGCCACCUGGCGAUGCAAUUCACGAAGUUGCGAGGCGUCUCCGGGCGUUAGUCCGCUUCCACAGCUGCCCCACCUCAUUAAACUACUUUCUCCCCCCUCUGUCUCCCUCCUUCCACCCAGAGCGCCUCCCCCGCGCGGACACCGGGACGGCCGCCGUGUGACUCGGUGCCGGAUGGAUGGGCGGACGCGUCGCGUUCUGACGGCGCGCAGGAAUAACACAGUGAACUGACAGGAGGAUCCGCGUCCCUCGCUCCUCGUUUGUUUGGCCCUUGGGAGUUCAACCAUUUUUCUCCCCUUCGCCGCCCGUCCCCGUCCCGCUCCCCUCCACCGUCUGUGGAAUUGUUACCUUUAGUGGUGCAACAUUUAUUCCUUAAAAGGUUGCGAUCGCCUGCUAUGCGUCUGGUGUGGAAAGUACCUGGUGGAAGGUGUGCAGCGGGAUUCCGCCUGGGACAACAGGACAUCCGCCACUGAACGCAGACGCGCUGUUUUAUCCUGUUCAAUCUCUCCGGUUUGUGCGUAAUGCACGUGGAAUGAAAGCAGAGGAUGGAUAUCUUUUGGGAAAUACUGAUCAUUCUUCAUGCCAAUGUUAUCGUCUGCAUAUCAGGUGUUUAAUGCUCGCGCACCCUGGGAGACUGAGGUCGGACGGAUUUCUCUGCGUCGCUCUAGUGGUGCAAUCGUCGCGCGACACAACAAACGGAGAAUGAAAUCUUUCAAUAAUCCCAUUUAAACUUAAUCGGUUGGUUGCUGCAGCCUGGUGAUGUUCUCCUCGAUGUUGGGAAGUCCACGUCCACCAGAGACCAACAUCUGUGUGUGCGUUUCAUGGUUUCCCUUUGAGUUCAACAACAAGCUCAAAGAAAAAAGCACUAAUGGAAGAAAGGAAUGAAAGAGCCAAUGAAGGAAGGGAGAGGGAGGAAAACAAUUACGAAUUAGGGCUGAAAAUAACAAAGAAUGACAAUAGGAAACACAGAAAGAUUAAAAUAAUAAGGGAGGAUGAAAGGAAGACAAACGGGGCGUAGGAGGAGACAGAGGAAAUAUCAAGGGGAACAUAAAACAAGCGGUAUUAAUGAUGAGAUAUUAAUGAUGUUUAAUGCAAUUAAAGAUAAACCAACAGACAAAAGGAAAAGUGACACUAUGAUGAAACAAUACGACAGAAGGAACUAAUGCCGGAGAAGAGAGGAAACAAGGCCGGCAAAGACAAAGCUACAAAGUGCAUAUGAAGUUAAAGCUGCCAAAUGAACGAGAUGGAGUAGGAUGUGUAAUGUUUCCCUCUGACGCUGGAGAAAAGAGCUCAUGUCAUCAGCGCUUCACCCACGGGGAGAGGUGGAUGGUUUAGACCCUGGUUCAACCCUGGUUUAAAUGUGGCUGUUGGUCCCAUUGACUCCCUGAAUACUCCUAUUGUUCCGCGGUCAAAUCAAUUUAAGUUAUUGACCGGAUCACUUUACCCGACCUGCAGGGGGCGAGCUCACCCAGGAAGUCCUCCUCACUCCCAGCGAGCCCCAAAAAACGGCACCGCGCGCCCAGGACACCUUUUAGUGACGAUGUCAUGAGCUGAAAGAGUCCCGUCAACACGGUGGACCCCUUUAAAAAUAUGCCCGACUGCUCGAAUGGCUUUUGACUCCAUUACUUUCAUGUGCAAGUGUCAUAUAGAAAAACAUCUUAAGCAGCACAAACAUGUUCAUAUGCCUUUUUUUUACACCCAGAUGUAUGUAAAUAGGGUCGCUAUUAAUUGAAAAAGUGGACGAAAGCGAAAAGCGCCUAGAAACUGCUUGUUUGGUUCAACUAGAAGGUGAAAUCUGCACGUCAGGCUGUUGGCAGGAGUGCU
ensembl:lncRNA